rnacentral:lncRNA from 1 species
UGUUGUGGACCCUCGGUUCCCUGGUUCGUGCCAUGACUCUUGGGUGUGGCAGCGUAACCCGCUGCGUGCACGCCUAGCCGCACAACUGCAGCCUGGCGAGUAUCUGCUUGGAGACUCAGGAUAUCCUCUCGAGCCAUGGCUGCUUGUUCCAGUACCUGGCAGCCAUGCCGGCACCACCUCUGAAGGCCACUACAACCAGGAGCACGCAUCCAUGCGCAAUGUUGUGGAGAGAUGUAUCGGGGUGUUGAAAAGCAAGUUCCGCUGCUUGCAGCGCUUUCGGACACUGCUGUACAGCCCCGAUAGAGCAGCGCGAAUCAUUUAUGCAUGCGUUGCUCUCCAUAACAUUGCCUUGGAGGCGGGCGACUGGACAUUGGAGGAUUAUGGUGGGGAAGUGCCACCAGCUGAGGAGCCAGGAGACAUCCAGGUGCUGGCACCACAAGACGUGUUCCUCAGAGGAAGGCAGCAGCGCAGCGCAGUUGUCAACCUUUUCUGAAGGACACAGGAAUGGUGCUCAGCGAUGUCCUGCGCUAUGGCGCGCACCUGUUCCAGGAUCCCCUCCUGGGCUGCUGCCGUCCGUUCUGCCGCGACAGCGAGGCGGGUUGUUGAAGCCUCGAUUCUGCGCAGCACCUGGAAUGAAUAAUCAUGGUGGAACUGUUCGCAUCAGUUGCUGAUUACUCGCAACCAGCUCACGGCUGCAAGCUGCUGUUGUGAAGAAUUGCAACGUGCACAACGAUUCCCUCUCUGCUGAAGAGCCACUGGCCUGAUGGCAUUCUUUGGCAGUGUCAAGCGUCGCGUACAAGCUAUACCCUCUUCGUUUGGACAGACAAAGACCUGCUGGAACUACUCUUCCGUCAUCUAUUCUAAUGCAUCUCUCACCACCAAACAGCCCUUUUC